AUUCCAGCUCCAAUAGCGUAUAUUAAAGUUGUUGCAGUUAAAAAGCUCGUAGUUGGAUCUCAGGGUGAGCUCAGUUGGUCGGCCUAAUUGGUCAGAACUGGCUGACUCUCCCUUGUUUCUGAAUCCCGGUCGGAGUUAAUUCUUCGUUCGUGGACUUCAGAUCGUUUACCUUGAAAAAAUUAGAGUGUUCAAAGCGGGCGUUUGCUUGAAUACAUUAGCAUGGAAUGAUGGAAUAGGACCCUGGUUCUAUUUUGUUGGUUUUGAGGACCAGAGUAAUGAUUAAUAGGGAUAGUUGGGGGCAUUCAUAUUUAAUUGUCAGAGGUGAAAUUCUUGGAUUUAUGAAAGAUGAACUUCUGCGAAAGCAUUUGCCAAGGAUGUUUUCAUCA
rnacentral:rRNA from 1 species